UACAGACGGUGCGGGCGUUAUUCAGCUUAAAUGGGUGUAAAGGGUAUGUAGGCGGUCACUUUCGAGAAGUAGAAAAACUGGGGGAAAUAACCGUAGUAGAUACUUUGAAGAAGGAAAGGGACUUAGAGUAUAUUGGGGGUGAGAGGAAUUUCCACAGUUAGCGGUAAAAUGCAGGGAGAGUGGAAGGAAUGCCAAAGGUGAAGACAUUGAUCUAUGAUAUACUGACGCUGAGGUACGGAGGUUAGGGGAGCAAAUCGG
rnacentral:rRNA from 1 species